UACGAAGGGGGCUAGCGUUGCUCGGAAUCACUGGGCGUAAAGGGCGCGUAGGCGGACUUUUAAGUCGGGGGUGAAAGCCCAGGGCUCAACCCUGGAAUUGCCUUCGAUACUGAGAGUCUUGAGUUCGGAAGAGGUUGGUGGAACUGCGAGUGUAGAGGUGAAAUUCGUAGAUAUUCGCAAGAACACCAGUGGCGAAGGCGGCCAACUGGUCCGAUACUGACGCUGAGGGCGGCGAA
rnacentral:rRNA from 1 species